rnacentral:rRNA from 1 species
UACAGAGGUCUCAAGCGUUGUUCGGAUUCAUUGGGUCGUAAAGGGUGCGUAGGUGGCGCGGUAAGUCGGGUGUGAAAUUUCGGAGCUUAACUCCGAAACUGCAUUCGAUACUGCCGUGCUUGAGGACUGGAGAGGAGACUGGAAUUUACGGUGUAGCAGUGAAAUGCGUAGAGAUCGUAAGGAAGACCAGUGGCGAAGGCGGGUCUCUGGACAGUUCCUGACACUGAGGCACGAAGGCCAGGGGAGCAAACGGG